GUGGCUCAGUGGUUAAGGGCACUGACUGCUCUUCCAGAGGACCUGGGUUCGAUUCCCAGC
rnacentral:tRNA from 1 species